GGGAGGUAGUGACAAUAAAUAACAAUACAGGGUUCUUUCGGAUCUUGUAAUUGGAAUGAGUACAAUUUAAAUCUCUUAACGAGGAACAAUUGGAGGGCAAGUCUGGUGCCAGCAGCCGCGGUAAUUCCAGCUCCAAUAGCGUAUAUUAAAGUUGCUGCAGUUAAAAAGCUCGUAGUUGAAUUUCGGGACCAAUAUGUCGGUCGUGCUUUUGUACGUACUGAUAUAAUUGGUUUCUCCCUUCUGAAGAACCUUGAUGUCAUUAAUUUGGUGUCUUGGGGAAUCAGGACUGUUACUUUGAAAAAUUAGAGUGUUUAAAGCAGGCUCGCGCUUGAAUACAUUAGCAUGGAAUAAUGAAAUAGGACGUUUGAUUCUAUUUUGUUGGUUUCUAGGAUCGACGUAAUGAUUAAUAGGGAUAGUUGGG
rnacentral:rRNA from 1 species